GGGGCACGCAUGGUGCUGUUAGAAUGAGCUGACUAAUGACAUUACUAAAUUAUAAUUAGUAAAAAAAAUACUUUUCUGCAUCCAUGCAGUCAUGUUUAGACUAAAUGCAUUUUAAUUCUUAUAAUUUCUCUCUCAUCAGGCCUUUUAAAUACCUCAGACUCAGUGUCUGGACCCGGGACACACUUGUUGCCAGUUCUGUCCAGUUCUGCACUCCACUGGUACUGAUUUACUGAGCCUUGGCCUUCGUGCAAUCCCGCACUCACAAAAGAGCUGUGAUCUGUUAUCCCCACAGUCGCCACCUGGUGACUAUGAUACUUGACAUGAUACUGGAGCAACGAGAGCAAGACUGCAUGGAGCCAAGGAGACGAGCAUCGAUCCUGGCAAUUUUUCCCCUUGGACACCCUGAUUCCUGAUGAGCACAGCAUGGGUGACAUUCGAGUGAAAGUGUUUACAGGUUCUUAUAUCUCAGAUCACAACAGCACCGAGCAGAGGAGCAGCCAACAAGAAGCAGGUCCAACAACAUGCCUCUCAGCACGAGCGGGAAGUCUAAUUUUCACAUCUGCUCAUUGCUCAGCAGCCAGUGGUCCCCAUUGA
ensembl:lncRNA